UACGAAGGUGGCAAGCGUUACUCGGAAUUACUAGGCGUAAAGGGCAGGUAGGUGGUUCGAUAAGUCUGUUGUGAAAGCUCCCGGCUCAACUGGGAGAGGCCAACAGAAACUAUCGGGCUUGAGUAUAGGAGAGGUUACUGGAAUUCCCGGUGUAGCGGUGAAAUGCGCAGAGAUCGGGAGGAACACCAAUGGCGAAAGCAGGUAACUGGACUAUUACUGACACUCAACUGCGAAAGCUAGGGGAGCAAACAGG
rnacentral:rRNA from 1 species